GGGAGAUUGAAAAAAGAGUGCCCUAUAAGCCAAUCACAUGAGUGAAACAAUGGGAUUUUUUUUGCAAAUUUCUAAUUCAUGUAAUGACAUUAUUCAUUAGUUAAUAAAAUAGAUAUUGAUUCAUCAUUCUAGCCACAUCUUAUUAUGUAUAAGAUUAUGAUGAACCUCAUAGAUUAGGGCAAUAGUUUAAGGGUCAUGAAGAGUUCAUGCCUAUGAAAUCUAAAAUCCUAAAAUUCUAAUCCUAAAUAUUCCUAGUCAUAGGAACAUUG
rnacentral:lncRNA from 1 species